UACGGAGGAUCCGAGCGUUAUCCGGAUUUAUUGGGUUUAAAGGGUGCGCAGGCGGGAGAUUAAGUCGGCGGUGAAAUUUUGCAGCUUAACUGUAACAGUGCCGUUGAUACUGUUUGGCUAGGAUUUGGUUGUAGUGUGCGGAAUGUGUGGUGUAGCGGUGAAAUGCUUAGAUAUUACACAGAACACCAAUUGCGUAGGCAGCUUACUGAGCCGACACUGACGCUGAGGCACGAAAGCGUGGGGAUCAAACAGGAUUAGAUA
rnacentral:rRNA from 1 species